AUCCAGCUGACGAGUCCCAAAUAGGACGAAAAGAGCGUCAAAUUGGAU
rnacentral:hammerhead_ribozyme from 1 species